rnacentral:rRNA from 1 species
UACGUAGGGCGCAAGCGUUUAUCCGGAAUUAUUGGGCGUAAAGAGCUCGUAGGUGGUUUGUCGCGUUGUCCGUGAAAACUCACAGCUUAACUGUGGGCGUGCGGGCGAUACGGGCAGACUGGAGUACUGCAGGGGGAGACUGGAAUUCCUGGUGUAGCGGUGGAAUGCGCAGAUAUCAGGAGGAACACCGGUGGCGAAGGCGGGUCUCGUGGGCAGUGAGCUGACACUGAGGCGCGACAGCGUGGGAGCAAACAGG